CCUACGGGUGGCUGCAGUGGGGAAUUUUGGACAAUGGGCGAAAGCCUGAUCCAGCCAUGCCGCGUGCGGGAAGAAGGCCUUCGGGUUGUAAACCGCUUUUGUCAGGGAAGAAAAGCGCCAGGCUAAUACCUUGGCGUCAUGACGGUACCUGAAGAAUAAGCACCGGCUAACUACGUGCCAGCAGCCGCGGUAAUACGUAGGGUGCAAGCGUUCAUUGGAAUUACUGGGCGUGGUGCGUGCGCAGGCGGUUGAACUCCGCGGGCUCAACCUGGGAACUGCAUCUGUGGCUGCACGGCUUGAGUGCGGCAGAGGGGAAUGGAAUUCCGCAUGUAGCAGUGAAAUGCGUAGAUAUGCGGAGGAACACCGAUGGCGAAGGCAAUUCCCUGGGCCUGCACUGACGCUCAUGCACGAAAGCGUGGGGAGCAAACAGGAUUAGAUACCCUAGUAGUC
rnacentral:rRNA from 1 species